CCUGUGAGCUUUCUAUUAGCAGAACUCUUCUCAGCUUAGUCUCAUUGGAUCUUAAAAGAAAGUGAGGGCCAUUUGCAAAGCACUCCGUCAGUGUAAGCCACUUCUCUGCUGCUGAUUCUUCUUUUUAUUUUAUGUGCGCCAGUUCAUACUUCCUCAUAGUAACUGUAACUGGCAAAUCUAAAAAGCUCAUGUCAGUAAGUAUCAUAUCAAACUUAAUGGGCUAGCAACAGUGGAGACCAACAGGUCUGUACAGGCGGCUAAAGCUGGUUUUGGUUUCAACUAUUGUUCCAUGUGACUCAGUAUUGUAGGGCCAACAUGAUUUUGGGGUACUUUAGUGCUAAUUUUUAAGAUUUACCUUGCAAGUACAGUGCAGUAGAGGAUUUCUAUACAGUAAAAACCUUUAUCCUCAACAGAAAACAUUUGUUGAUAUAUUUUAUAUCAAUAUUUGUUUGAUGGCCUGUGUGUAGCUGCUCUUUAGUUGUGCUUUUUGUGUUUUUAAUUUCUUUAUUCAAAAUGAAGAAAUCCAUCUAUUAGUUGAGUUUAGAAAAAGUUUGAGUUAUGCUGCAGGAAUCGAUCAAAGAGUUUUGGAUAUACUUUUAUUUUCUGUAAAUAUUUCUGUUGGAGUAUUUCCUGAAAUGUGAAUUAGAGGUUGACUCAUAUCUUUUUUUCUAAUCAUUUUUGUCACAUUGGCAAACACUCUGCAUGCACGUGUGCAGCCUGCUGUGCUAGAACAGAUGCAUUACAUGAACAUCAGCCUUGUCUGGGAGCUAUUUAAUAGUUUGGCUGAGUGCUCUUCGACGCUGGAUUGUUGCGUGAGACUCAUGAGGAGCGCAGAGCACCGCAGGGCAGCAAGCACGGGGUGUGGGGACACAUGGGAGUGGAGAGCACUGAGCAUGGACUUUUGAGAAGAAGACAUGACACGGGAGUCAGGGGAGCGCACGGGGAUUUAUUGUCAUUUUGCUGCACUGUAAAUAAACGCUUGUUCAGAUUAAUUAGAACAAAAUAGAAAGCAUUAAAAUAUGUUUAAAACACAACAGCCUUAAUAAACCCAGAGUAGUUUGGACCCGGUAGUAGGGUUCAUACAUCAUCACUUAAAGACCGGAUAUCCCACCUGCUGUCAAUGUUUUAAUGCAGUACAGUUGUUAUUAUUAUCACUUGUCACGUCCUCUUUAUGACAGUUAAAAUAAAUAAUUUUCAUAUAAGAAAUAAAAUUGUCUCAUGUAAACUGUAUAUGGUGUUAAAUAGGCCUAUACUAUUGUACUUUAAUGUUAAUCAUAAGGGUGGUACUUCAAGAUCCAUAGAUUUUAUGAGGUGGUACUCACUGUGAAAAGAUUAAGAACCACUGAUCUACAGCAAUAGUUCCUCAGGCUUACUGGACAAUUUUCUGUUUUUCAGUUUUCCUUUAACCUUUUCAGCAGAAUGUUUUCAGUUUUUAAGCCACUUAACACUAACCUAUACAUGAUUCAAGGAGAAAAACAUUACCUAAAUCAAGGGAUGUCAGCAUUAACACAUUACAUGUAACUUAGCAAAGAACUAAUUUUAAAGUACCAAGCACAUAUCUGCAGAAUCUCAUAUACACACACACACACACACACACACACACACCUUCAUACACCAAGUGACUUUUUUCACAACACUCAGUGCAGACACAACAGUGCAAUAGAAAUGUGCAAAAGACUGUCUUGUGUCUGUAUCGUUCUAUUCUAUCUGGAGUUGCGCUGUCUUUGGUUUGUUUUUUUGCAAUUUUUGCACAGUGCACUUGUAGUCCUGUGUUGAUUACUAUUACAUGCCAUAUGUAGCACCAUGGUCUUGGAGGAACGUUGUCUUGUUUCACUGUGUACUGUACCAGUGCACACGGUUGGAAUGACAAUAAAGCCACUUGUCUCGACUAAAGUGUACCUUCCCAGCAAACAUGGCCCUUGUGACCCAUAUGGGCCCAUUGUCCCAGAUUUCUCUCUGAUGUGUCCUUUGAAAUAUAAAUGUGUGUCGAUGUUAGAAA